rnacentral:rRNA from 1 species
GGCGAUCAGAUACCGCCCUAGUUCUAACCGUAAACGAUGACAACCAGCGAUUAAUCGGCGUUAAUAUACGACCCGAUUAGCAGCUUCCGGGAAACCAAAGUUUUUCGUUUCCGGGGGAAGUAUGGUUGCAAAGCUGAAACUUAAAGGAAUUGACGGAAGGGCACCACCAGGAGUGGAGCCUGCGGCUUAAUUUGACUCAACACGGGAAAACUCACCCGGCCCGGACACUGUAAGGAUUGACAGACUGAGAGCUCUUUCUUAAUUCAGUGGGUGGUGGUGCAUGGCCGUUCUUAGUUGGUGGAGCGAUUUGUCUGGUUAAUUCCGAUAACGAACGAGACUCUGGCCUAUUAAAUAGACGAGAUAUCUUUUUGUAUCUCGCGCUUCUUAGAGGGACAAGCGGCGUCUAGUCGCAUGAAAAAGAGCAAUAACAGGUCUGUGAUGCCCUUAGAUGUCCGGGGCUGCACGCGCGCUACACUGAAAGAAUCAGUGGGCGUUUUACCUGGUUCGGAAGAACCGGGUAACCCAAGUAAUUUCUUUCGUGCUUGGGAUAGGGAAUUGCAAUUAUUUCCCUUAAACGAGGAAUUCCCAGUAAACGCGGGUCAUAAGCUCGUGUUGAUUACGUCCCUGCCCUUUGUA